UACGUAGGGUGCGAGCGUUAAUCGGAAUUACUGGGCGUAAAGCGUGCGCAGGCGGUGAUGUAAGACAGUUGUGAAAUCCCCGGGCUCAACCUGGGAACUGCAUCUGUGACUGCAUCGCUGGAGUGCGGCAGAGGGGGGAUGGAAUUCCGGCGUGGUAGCAGUGAAAUGCGUAGAUAUGCGGAGGAACACCGAUGGCGAAGGCAAUCCCCUGGGCCUGCACUGACGCUCCAUGCACGAAAGCGUGGGGA
rnacentral:rRNA from 1 species